rnacentral:rRNA from 1 species
GAUGAACGCUGGCGGCGUGCCUAAUACAUGCAAGUCGAGCGAACAGACGAGGAGCUUGCUCCUCUGACGUUAGCGGCGGACGGGUGAGUAACACGUGGAUAACCUACCUAUAAGACUGGGAUAACUUCGGGAAACCGGAGCUAAUACCGGAUAAUAUAUUGAACCGCAUGGUUCAAUAGUGAAAGACGGUUUUGCUGUCACUUAUAGGUGGAUCCGCGCCGCAUUAGCUAGUUGGUAAGGUAACGGCUUACCAAGGCAACGAUGCGUAGCCGACCUGAGAGGGUGAUCGGCCACACUGGAACUGAGACACGGUCCAGACUCCUACGGGAGGCAGCAGUAGGGAAUCUUCCGCAAUGGGCGAAAGCUUGACGGAGCAACGCCGCGUGAGUGAUGAAGGUCUUCGGAUCGUAAAACUCUGUUAUUAGGGAAGAACAAAUGUGUAAGUAACUAUGCACGUCUUGACGGUACCUAAUCAGAAAGCCACGGCUAACUACGUG